rnacentral:tRNA from 1 species
UGCGGGCGUGGCGGAAUUGGCAGACGCGUAUGGCUUAGGACCAUAUACCGCAAAGGUGUGGGGGUUCAAAUCCCUCCGUCCGCAU